rnacentral:rRNA from 1 species
UCAUAUGCUUGUCUCAAAGAUAAGCCAUGCAUGUCUAAGUACAUGCCGCACUAAGGCGAAACCGCGAAUGGCUCAUUAAAUCAGUUAUGGUUCCUUGGAUCGUACUUUACUACUUGGAUAACUGUGGCAAUUCUAGAGCUAAUACAUGCAGCAGAGCUCCGACCUCCGGGGACGAGCGCUUUUAUUAGACCAAGACCGAUCGGGCCUCGCGCCCGCGAAACGUGGUGACUCUGUAUAACUUUGGGCUGAUCGCACGGGCUCGUCCCGGCGACGUAUCUUUCAAGUGUCUGCCUUAUCAACUGUCGAUGGUAGGUUACGCGCCUACCAUGGUCGUAACGGGUAACGGGGAAUCAG